rnacentral:rRNA from 1 species
AGCGAACGCUGGCGGCAGGCCUAACACAUGCAAGUCGAACGGAUCCUUCGGGAUUAGUGGCGGACGGGUGAGUAACACGUGGGAACGUGCCCUUUGGUUCGGAACAACUCAGGGAAACUUGAGCUAAUACCGGAUGGGCCCUUCGGGGGAAAGAUUUAUCGCCAUUGGAGCGGCCCGCGUCUGAUUAGCUAGUUGGUGAGGUAACGGCCCACCAAGGCGACGAUCAGUAGCUGGUCUGAGAGGAUGAUCAGCCACACUGGGACUGAGACACGGCCCAGACUCCUACGGGAGGCAGCAGUGGGGAAUCUUGCGCAAUGGGCGAAAGCCUGACGCAGCCAUGCCGCGUGAAUGAUGAAGGUCUUAGGAUUGUAAAAUUCUUUCAGCGGGGACGAUAAUGACGGUACCCGCAGAAGAAGCUCCGGCUAACUUCGUG